GGGGUUUUUUGUUUGGGUUUUUUUUGUGGUUUUUUUUUCUUUAUGCUUUUGAUGAUUAGCAACUUUGAAACAUGAUACAAGUAACAUUUUCUUCUACUGGCAUUUAAUCCGUUUUGAGGUGCCCCUUUUUUUAUCUUUCUUUGUCCCAGUUAUGUUCUAAAAUAGCUUUUCAACCAGGAAAUUCUUCUCUAGGAGUUUUCUUGCAAACGGGCAUGCAUCAAAGCCAGAAGCUGUAAAAAUUGUCUGCACAAUCUUUCUCAUUUGGAUUGGAAAUAUCACUCUUUUCAGAAUCUGACAUCUAUGGCAAAGCGAAGAGAAUGAUCUUUAAAAUGAUAAAGAUCUAAAGAAGAAAUUGAAAAAAAAAAGUUCCAUGUAUUCCAAGUGAACUCUAAAUCUCUGAACCUCUUUUCUGAACACUGGGGCUGAAAGAGGGGCCUAUUUUGAAGAACCAAAAUGGUUAGGCAUAUUCAAAAACUGCACAUCAGUGCCAUCCCAGGAAAUGAAAAAGAAAAAUCCAACAGGAUAUAAUCAUAAGGCACAUAUCAGUGCUGUCAAAAGGAACUGCCUUCAAUGUCACAAGAGAAGAUGGUGAAGCCUGAUGAUCAGUGAUGAGACAGAAUAGCUGGUAGCUAGAUGAGGAAAACACAGCAAAAGAAAAGUCAGACAGAAAAAGAGGGAGAGGCUUAAUGAAAGUAUGAAAUGUAAAGGAUGAACAUUUUGGCAAGUCAGGGAGCUGAAGUAGGGCAUCAGGGCAAAGGAAGUAAAAGUGAUCAAAUGGAUCAUUUAACAAAGAAGCCAAAGAAAAGUGCAGGUUGCUGAGGAAACACAACUGAGGCUGAAAUUUGAGAGGAAAGCUGAAAUGUAGUGAGGUGAUUGGCAGUGAUAGGACAUGACAGCAGCUGUAAAGAAGACAGGGGACUUCCUGCAAGUGCUGAAAAUGAAAGGAGAAUUGAAAGGAUUUAAAGGGAAUGAUGAGGAGUACCCAGUACACCCAGCACCCCUGAUCUGGUCUACAGUAAGUAGGUGAAAUGAAAAGAUAAAAUAUUUCAGGUUUCCAUAAAUCAGAAGGUUGUAUGUCAGUAAAAGUGCUGUGAAUGGCUGUAUUUUUGUUCCAUUUUAUUUUAUUUUGUUCUAAGGAUGGAGGAAAUGUCCAGAGAAAGGAAAAGGAUAGCAAUAGAAAUGGCCAUAGAAGUGACAAAGCAGCCCAUGAGUGGUGAAGGUUUUGAGGAGGAUAGAUAAGCGUGAUGGGAAUAACAGGCAUUCCGGAUGGCACUUUUUAAAGAAUAUAUCACAGAGCUGAUUGAAAAAAUAUGAAUGUGGGAAUCUGGAUUGGUACUAGUUUGAAAAUGAGAACAACACUGAAAAAAUGGCGUAUCUUGAGUCUGUAGAUAGAUAAAGGUGCUGGGUAUAGUAUUACAGUGUGAGAAGUUUAUAUGGUGUAUUUAUUCUGAACAUGAAGGUGAAUAAGGUGAAAGAUGUACAAAAGUACUGUGGAAUAGGCAGGCAUUACUGCAGCAUCUGUGAGCCGUCAAAAGCUUUCAUGGAAAACAAAUCACUGACAGUUUAUUUCUUUUCAUGCUUCUGAAAUUGUUUUUUUUCUGGAUCUCACCCACUGUGCUCACAGAAGCAAAAGUAAUUGGUAAUCCAACAAUUGGGAAUGCAUGAAAGUUCUCUGAAGAGAACUUGCAAAAUCAGUUGUAAUGUUGAAUGAGGAUGUCUUAAUUGUAUGUCAGUUGAAUGAGGAUGCUGGAUUCUAAAGCUGUUCUGACUGACAUAAUUGUCAAGGUUAAAAACCUUCUUGUCUAUGUGAUUUCUUUGCACUGAAGAGGUACUGAAGCAGCUUAUAUUAUUGGGUAGGCUUUUAGGUGUGUCCUUUAGUGAAAAUUAAAAGCUUUCCAUCUCAGUUUGAUCAACUUCCACACAUUUUAUAUGUGCUCAGCAAUUCACAGUGUGCCAACACUUUACUCUGUAACUGGAAGAUGGAUGUUUCCACUAAAAUGUUACAUUUAAAUACUGGAAGUACAAAGCUCAUAUUUUUAACUGAACAGUCAGGAUUACAGAUUAUCAUCACUUUUCAGAAAGAUGGGCACAUUGUUAAAAAUAACUAUAUGAAAUUGUCUCUGGUCUGAUUUGCUGUAGCAGGUGGGCUAGAUAAACUCUACAGAGCCUUUCCAGCCAAGUUGUGCUCCUGUGGUUCUUAGGUAUCACUGUGAAAGAACACUUUGAUUUGUAUGUGCAGAAUAAUCUGGUGACCCUUGAAUAUAUCUUAAUGAAACUUGAUAUUCAGAGAAAAACUUUAGCUGAUAUAUGUUAGAGGAUGUAAUUCUUAUUCUGGACUUCAGUUUCAUGUACAAAGUUCUUUUUUUGUAUCAAAGAUGCAAUCGUUAUGUUUACCCAGCAUAAAACUCCCUGUAUGGCAAAUCAUUUUGUUUUCUAUUGAAUAAGUGCUGGAUUCUGGAUCUAAAUGUCAUUUAGUUAAUAAUGUAUUGUUACUCCUGUAAAAUAGCAUUUUAUCUUUAAAUCUUAACUGAAUAAAGUGCAUACUUGGUUGUGGAUACAUCACUGUAGGAUCACAACACUGUUUUCUGCAGACAUUUCUGUCAUCUAUAAAUAGAGGACCAUUACAUCACACUACUUUUUCUGGUUGUCACUUAUUCCUAUAAGAGAACGGCAAAAGGACAAAAGCCAGCUCUCAAGGUGUUGAAGAACUGUAGUACAGGGAUUGAGCUCCAUCUUGUGGAAUAAAGAGAAGCCUACAUUCUUUUUUCCCCUUCAGAGAAAUGAUUGUAAAAGGCAUAAUUUAAUAAAUUUCCUUUUGAAAG